CCCUAUGGGGUGCAGCAGGUCGGAGUCGAGGUCGGCCACCAGUUUGUUUUCGGCCACGGUGCGGAUGAUGAUCCCGCCGUUUUUCGGCUUGAUGCUGGUGAUCAGCCGUUUCAGCCUGUUCCGCUCUUCGGCGCUCUUGAUCUUCUGGGAAACGGAGAUCUUGUCGGAGAAGGGGAUCAGCACGAGGUACCGGCCGGCGAAGGCGAUCUCCGAGGUGACCCGGGGACCUUUCGUCGAGAUGGGUUCCGUGGCGAUCUGGACGACGAUGUCCAUGUUGGGCUUGAGCACCUGAGUGAUCUUGCCGGUCUUCUGGAUGUCGGGCUCCAUUUCGAAGUUGGCAAUGGUAAGCCCGCUUCCGCCUGACUGUCCCUUGCGGAUAUACUUCAACAGGGAGAGC
rnacentral:rRNA from 1 species